UACGGAAGGCAGCAGGGGGAAUAUUGCACAAUGGGCGCAAGCCUGAUGCAGCCAUGCCGCGUGUAUGAAGAAGGCCUUCGGGUUGUAAAGUACUUUCAGUCGUGAGGAAGGUGUUAAGGUUAAUAACCUUAGCAAUUGACGUUAGCGACAGAAGAAGCACCGGCUAACUCCGUGCCAGCAGCCGCGGUAAUACGGAGGGUGCGAGCGUUAAUCGGAAUUACUGGGCGUAAAGGGCACGCAGGCGGUUAAUUAAGUUGGAUGUGAAAUCCCCGGGCUUAACCUGGGAAUGGCAUUCAAGACUGGUUAGCUAGAGUCUUGUAGAGGGGGUAGAAUUCCAUGUGUAGCGGUGAAAUGCGUAGAGAUGUGGAGGAAUACCGGUGGCGAAGGCGGCCCCUGGGACAAAGGCUGACGCUCAUGUGCGAAAGCGUGGGGAGCAAAC
rnacentral:rRNA from 1 species